GGGGCUUCUAGUGCUUCCGAGUCUAGGUAUCCGUGUAUGUCGAUGAGUUUGUUCGGUUGCGGUUCUCCCGGUUCGUCUCGCCGGAGGUGGUAUAGGCCUUGGUAAUAUGUGUGGAACUCUGUUGCGAUCUGGUCCGGGAGGUGCCUAAGUCGUUGCUGCGUGUCCUUGAUCUUUGGGAUGUAUAGUUGGGUUUUACGUUGUUUCAGAAGGUUUGCCAGCAGCCUCCCGCAUUU